rnacentral:rRNA from 1 species
UACGAAGGGGGCUAGCGUUGCUCGGAAUUACUGGGCGUAAAGCGCACGUAGGCGGCUUCUUAAGUCGGUGGUGAAAGCCUUGAGCUCAACUCAAGAAGUGCACUCGGUACUGGGUGACUAGAGGACCGGAGAGGAUAGUGGAAUUCCCAGUGUAGUGGUGAAAUACGUAGAGAUUGGGAAGAACACCAGUGGCGAAGGCGGCUAUCUGGACGGUUUCUGACGCUAAGACGCGAAAGCGUGGGGAGCAAACAGG